ACAGGCCCUACCCGUAGCUUCUACAUCCCUCUUCCAUCACAGCACAAGCACACAGAACCCUAAUUGGUAGUGCCAGAGACGCAGCAGGGACAAAACAUCACCUUGGGUCAGAUCUCAAGAAGGCCCUUUGGGUUUCACAGAUGAAUGACAGGCAACCCCAGAGCACAUCAUUUGCCUCUCAGUCUGCCAAGAGAGACCUCUAGCUAUGCUUGAUACAGGUAUAGAAAAGAGGAGAUGGAAUUUGUGAUACACUAUGAAAUGGAUCACCAAGGGAAAAUUUUCACAAAUAGAAUGGAUUGCGGUUCCUGAAGGUACCAAGCAUUAAAAAAAGUUUUGUGACUUAA